UACGUAGGGGGCGAGCGUUGUCCGGAAUGACUGGGCGUAAAGGGAGCGUAGGCGGUUUUUUAAGUUAAGUGUGAAAGCCCCGGGCUUAACCCGGGAACUGCACUUAAAACUGAAAGACUGGAGUGUGGGAGAGGAAAGCGGAAUUCCUAGUGUAGCGGUGGAAUGCGUAGAUAUUAGGAGGAACACCAGUGGCGAAGGCGGCUUUCUGGACCAUAACUGACGCUGAGGCUCGAAAGCGUGGGUAGCAAAC
rnacentral:rRNA from 1 species